rnacentral:rRNA from 1 species
CCUACGGGUGGCUGCAGUGAGGAAUAUUGGUCAAUGGGCUUACGCCUGAACCAGCCAAGUCGCGUGAGGGAAGACUGCCCUAUGGGUUGUAAACCUCUUUUGUCAGGGAGCAACGCCGGCUACGUGUAGCCGGACUGAGAGUACCUGAAGAAAAAGCAUCGGCUAACUCCGUGCCAGCAGCCGCGGUAAUACGGAGGAUGCGAGCGUUAUCCGGAAUUACUGGGUGUAAAGGGAGCGUAGACGGCGAGGUAAGCCUGAAGUGGAAGCCCGCGGCCCAACCGCGGAACUGCUUUGGGAACUGUUUUGCUGGAGUAUGGGAGGGGUAAGCGGAAUUCCUGGUGUAGCGGUGAAAUGCGUAGAUAUCAGGAGGAACACCGGUGGCGAAGGCGGCUUACUGGACCAUAACUGACGUUGAGGCUCGAAAGCGUGGGGAGCGAACAGGAUUAGAUACCCGAGUAGUC